rnacentral:rRNA from 1 species
CAGUAGCCGCGGUAAUACGUAGGUGGCAAGCGUUGUCCGGAAUUAUUGGGCGUAAAGGGCUCGCAGGCGGUUUCUUAAGUCUGAUGUGAAAGCCCCCGGCUCAACCGGGGAGGGUCAUUGGAAACUGGGAGACUUGAGUGCAGAAGAGGAGAGUGGAAUUCCACGUGUAGCGGUGAAAUGCGUAGAGAUGUGGAGGAACACCAGUGGCGAAGGCGACUCUCUGGUCUGUAACUGACGCUGAGGAGCGAAAGCGUGGGGAGCGAACAGGAUUAGAUACCCGAGUAGUCCCUGUCUCUUAUAC